rnacentral:lncRNA from 1 species
GCUCAGCAACCUCGCGGCGCGGAAGGGUUUCGUUGCUAGGGAGAUGGGCUGAGCCGGGCGGGCAUCGCGCCAGACCUGCUACUCUGGAUAAUCCACUCUCCUGGAUAAUCCACUACCCUGGAUAAUCGGCUGCCCGCUUUUGCGCAUGUUAGGGAGUUGACGGCCUGUAGCAUUCUGAUGCAGCAAAAUAUUUCGCAGGGUCUGUCAUAGGGAUCUCCGGUGAGAGGAGGUUCCCUUCGAAGGCAGAACUGGAAACCUUGCUGCUAACUUGGUAGGGUUGUUGAGAUAAUUACAUGAGAUGGCAUAUGAAGGGCGGCUUAGUUCAAUACCUGGCAUGUAGUAGGUGUUCAGUGGGCGUAGUUACCGGAUUGAUUCAGAUAGUCUGAACGCCAGUGUCUCUUGAAAGAAAUAAACUGGCCGGGCGUGGUGACUGUAAUCCCAGCACUUUGGGAGGCCGAGGUGGGCGAAUCACUUGGGGUCAGGAGUUUGAGACCAGCCUGGCCAGCGUGGUGAAACCCCGUUUCUACUAAAAAAAAAAAAAAAAAUACAAAAAUUAGCCGGGCAUGGGGGCGGGCGCCUGCAAUCCCAGCUGCUUGGGUGGCUGGGCGGGCUCCUGCAAUCCCAGCUACUCGGGAGGCUGAGGCAGGAGAAUCGCUUGAACCCCGGGGUCGGGGGCGGAGGCGGAGGUUGCAGUGGGCCGAGAUCACGCCAUUUUCUGGGCGAGAGAGCGAGACUCCGUCUCAAAAAAAAAAAAAAAAACCAUGAAAGAAAUAAGCUCAGUGAAGGCGGGCAUUCUGCCUGGCUAACGCAGGUCGCUCCUUGCCGUGCCUGGAACAUUACUGUAAGUGCUCAGCAAACUACUUUAAGGGUGUUGAAAGCAGCAGGGGCCUAGAAGACAUUAAACCGAUACCACAGAAAUACAAAGGAUCAUUAGAGACUAUUAUGAACAACUAUAUGCCAACAAAUUGGAAACCAAAUGGAAAUGGAUAAAUUCCUGAACAGAUACAACUUACCAAAAUUGGACCAAGAAGAAAUAGAAAACCUGAAAAGACCAACUAUGAGUAAUGAGAUUAAAUCAGUAAUAUAGAGUCUCCCAUCAAAGAAAAGUCCAGGCCCUGAUGGCUUCACUGCUGAAUUCUACUGAACAGUUAAAGAAGAACUCAUACCAGUUCUCAAACUCAUCCUGUGAGGGCAGCAUUACCCUGAUACCAAAACUAGAUAUGGACACAAGAAAAAAAAUCUAUAGGCCAGUAUCCCUGAUGAACAUAGAUGCAAGAAUCCUCAACAAGACCAGGUGUGGUGGUUCAUGCCUGUAAUCCCAGCACUUUGGGAGGCCAAGGCAGGUGGAUCACCUGAGGUCAGGAAUUUGAGACCAGCCUGGCCAACAUGGCAAAACCCUGUCUGUACUAAAAAUACAAAAAUUAGCCGGGCAAGGUGGCGUGUGCCUGUAAUCCUAGCUACUUGGGAGGCUGAGGCAGGAGAAUUGCUUGAACCUGGAGGGAGGAGGGGCAGAAGUUGCAGCGAGCUCAGAUCGUCCCACUGCACUCCAGCCUGGGUGACAGAGUGAGACUCCAUCUCAAAAUAAGUAAAUAAAUAAAGAGACUCAACUAGCAUAAAUGAAUUGCAAGUGUUUUAUAGUAUAUAAUGAGCACAACAAAAGUAUCAAUAUAUUACAUGGAAAUACAUUUUUCAAAGCUGGAUCUUUAGCUUCCAAGGAUUAAGGAGAAUUUUGUUACUGAGUUGGUUCUUAAUUUAGGCUCUGCACCUGAGACCUAGAGUCCCCUGGGAUUUGGGUCCGAGGACUGGCAUUACCUUUGUAGGUGGCUCUUGGCAACUAGCACUGUCUAAGAUCUUAACAUUUGCAAAUGAAGCCUUAAAACAUGUCCCAAAAGUAUGGAAAGUGGGCCGAUUUCAACACAACCAUUACCUGUUCCUGGUAGCUGACCAACUAGGAGAUUUCAGAGGUCAAGUGGGACAGAGCAGGGUAGGGAAUUUUUUUUUAAGCUUUAUUAUAAAACAGGUAACUUUGUCCCUAUCUUAAGAAUUUGGAACUGAGGCUAUAGGUCACUCAAUGAUCAAAUAAUGAAAGGUCUGCUUCAACUGGACUACUUAAUAUUUCACAUUUACCUUUUUGACUAGAAAUAACUGAUGAAAGUUCACUUAGUUUGGUGGGAAAUAAGAGAUACAAAGAUAUCUUCUCCAGGAUGAGACUCCCAAAAGCAAAUGUUCUCUGAGUACCUCUGUCGCUCAAAUUUAAGCCCUUUGGAGUUCCUUUGAGCAUGGUUCUGCCCUCAUAUUUCUGAUCACUCCCUCUAGACUCCUACUCAACUUCUC